rnacentral:tRNA from 1 species
ACCUAUAUAGCUCAGUCGGUAAAGAAUCUGCCUGCAAUGCAGGAGACCUAGGUUCAAUUCCUGGGUCAGGAA